UGGCAGGUCAGGCGGUGGCCUAGAUUUCCCCAUUCCUUUCCUCUUCGCCGCAACAUUGAAGGACGCUAGUUGGACCGGCUUAAGCUCAGGCCGAUUCCUCCUAUUGAUCGGCAUCAUCUAGUGAUCGGUGGAGCUUUCGAUCAUUGCCAGUCAGUUGCCAAGGAGAUCCCUGACCUUGCUAUGGUCGAGGAUAGGCAAAUUCGCUGUCAAAGAGGCUUCGGCGUUGAAGACCAGUCCAGUUUUUGAACUAGUUUUGUUCCUGACCCAAAUCGGCGCCAUCGGUGACUUUGGGAGCCAUUGAUCACUUCCAAUCAGUCAUAGAGAGAGUCCCAACCUCGUCAUGGUCGGAGAUUAGUUGAUCGACUGUUGGAUCUCCUCUGACAGCUCGAUUUCCACCGACAAUCUAAGAUCGAUCCUAACCAGACCAGUUCUGCUUGCAAGCCAAACCAGUGGUCUAGCUGCCCGUAGGUGGUCCUCAAGUGAUCUGAUCUACUCAUCGAAGAUCCAUUUGGGUUUUGGUAAUGGUUACUUUGUCCAAUCGCGUCAAAAAUCAAAGAAAACGCAACAAAGGUAAAAGUCUUAAACUCAAAUCCGAUGAAGCAAGAUCAGUGUAUCUGACUGAGACUAGGAUCCGCGAUUA
rnacentral:lncRNA from 1 species